GGUGGCUCAAUGGUAGAGCACUUGCCUCGCAUGCAUGAGGCCCUGGGUUCGAUUCGUCAGCACCA
rnacentral:tRNA from 1 species